GCGGCCGUGGCGAAACAGGUAGACGCGCAGCACUUAGACUGCUGUGGAGAAAUCCGUGAAGGUUCAAGUCCUUUCGGCCGCACCA
rnacentral:tRNA from 1 species